GCGGAGGAAAAGAAAAUAACAAUGAUUUCCCUAGUAACGGCGAGUGAAGAGGAAAGAGCUCAAAGUUGGAAACUGUUUGGCUUAGCUAAACCGUAUUGUAAACUGUAGAAACAUUUUCCUGGCACACCAGAUUAAUAAGUCCUUUGGAACAAGGCAUCAUGGAGGGUGAGAAUCCCGUCUUUGAUCUGAGUAGUUGUCUUUUGUGAUAUGUUUUCAAAGAGUCAGGUUGUUUGGGAAUGCAGCCUAAAUUGGGUGGUAAAUCUCACCUAAAGCUAAAUAUUUGCGAGAGACCGAUAGCGAACAAGUACCGUGAGGGAAAGAUGAAAAGAACUUUGAAAAGAGAGUUAAACAGUAUGUGAAAUUGUUAAAAGGGAACCGUUUGGAGCCAGACUGGUUUGCCUGUAAUCAACCUAGAAUUCGUUUUGGGUGCACUUGCAGGCUAUACCUGCCAACAACAGUUUGAUUUGGAGGAAAAAAUUAGUAGGAAUGUAGCCUCUCGAGGUGUUAUAGCCUACUAUCAUACUCUGGAUUGGACUGAGGAACGCAGCGAAUGCCUUUAGGCAAGAUUGCUGGGUGCUUUCGCUAAUAAAUGUUAGAAUUUCUGCUUCGGGUGGUGCUAAUGUUUAAAGGAGGAACACAUCUAGUAUAUUUUUUAUUCGCUUAGGUUGUUGGCUUAAUGACUCUAAAUGAC
rnacentral:rRNA from 1 species